UGAGGCAGCAGAGUUCCUGACAGCAUCCACUAUGGCAGCACCCCUGCUUCAUGUAUCCUCACAACCACAGACGUUGGGGUCUUAAAGGAUGGGGCAGCCUCAACUGCCACCCCAUUCCUUCGCCAAUAAGAAUUCCAAGAGAACAGGUGGAGGGCCAGAUCAUGGAGCCUGUGUGGACAACAUAUCUCAAAGAACCACCCUUACUGUAGGAUAAGCAACUGUUCUUCGAGUGAUUGUGCACACACAUUCCACUCUGGGUGAUUAACAAGCAGUGAUCUUUAACCUGAAGGUGGGAAGAGGAGUCCUACUUAAAAAGCAACAAGAGAACGCUGGGAAGACACACACUUGAACUGAGGAGACUGAUCCCAAGCUUAAAGAGGAAGCCUGUGUAUUAAGAACUGUAACAUCUAGUGAGGUUCCAAGACUAGCUUCUCCAAGAAGAACUCAUUGAUAGUGUCCAGACGUUUUAUCUCCGCAUCCCAUCCUGAGGUGACAUGUACCCAGUCAAUAUGGGGAUAGUUGAAAUCUCCCAUUAUUAUUGAGUUCUCUACUUUUAUCACCUCUCUAAUCGACCUGAGCAUUUCACAAUCACCAUCCUGGUCAGCUGGUCAGUAAUAUAUUCCUACUGUUACAAUCGUAUUAUUCAAGCGGGGAAUUUCUAUCCAUACAGAGUCUACAGUACAGUUUGAUUAAGAUUUUUAGUAUACUUGGCUCUAUGCUCUCUUUCACAUGUAGUGCCCCUCCUCCACCGGCACGACCUAAUCUGUCAUUCCUACAUAUUUUGUACCCUUGUAUUACCAUGUCCUACUGAUUAUCAUCAUUCCAACAAGUUUCUGUGAUGCCCAUCAUUUUAAUAUUCUCAUCUAACACCAGGCACACGAGUUCACCCAUCUUAUUUAUACUCCAGCAAUAUAGAGUUGUCUGCCUUCACGUGAUGUAACUGAAAGGAUCUCUCUUUAAUUGACUGUUUCUCUUCAGUUCCUACGUGUACUUUAUCAACUUCUAUCCUCUCCUCUUUACUAAGAUAUAGAGAAUCCCUGUUAACAGAUCCUCCCCUAAAGGCUGUUUCUGUCCCAACCGUGUGCUUCUCCACCCCUGACAGCUUUCCCUCAGCCCUUAGUCUAAAAACUCCUCUAAGACCUUUUGAAUUUUACCUGCCAGCAGUCUGGUUCUGUUUUGGUUUAGGUGGAGCCUACCCUUCCCAUCCUCCUUUACCAAAAGGUUCCUCAGUUAGAUUUAAUAAAUCUAAAACCAGCCUCCAUACACGAUCAUCGCAUCCACGCAUUGAGACUCUGCAGUUCUGCCUAACUGACCCUGCAUGUGGAACUGGAAGCAUUUCAGAGACUACUACUAUAGAGGUCCUGGACUUUAAUCUCUUACCUAGCAGCCUAAAUUGGCCUCCAGGACCUUUCUCCUACCUUUCCCUAUGUCACGGAUACCUACAUGUACUGCAACCACAGGCUCCUCCCCAGCAUUGCACAUUAGUCUCAAGAGAUCUGCAAGCUUCACAUCCAGUAGGCAAUUCAUCAUGCUGUUCUCCUGGUAUUCAUAAACCCAGCUUACUCCUGGGGGAAUUCUGCGCCACUGUGCAUGUGCAGAAUUCAUGUCCAGUGCAGCCCCUCUCUGUUUC